rnacentral:rRNA from 1 species
UACGUAGGUGGCAAGCGUUGUCCGGAAUUAUUGGGCGUAAAGCGCGCGCAGGCGGUCCCUUAAGUCUGAUGUGAAAGCCCACGGCUCAACCGUGGAGGGUCAUUGGAAACUGGGGGACUUGAGUACAGAAGAGGAAAGCGGAAUUCCACGUGUAGCGGUGAAAUGCGUAGAGAUGUGGAGGAACACCAGUGGCGAAGGCGGCUUCUGGACCGUAACUGACGCUGAGACACGAAAGCGUGGGUAGCAAACAGG